rnacentral:rRNA from 1 species
AUUGAACGCUGGCGGCAGGCCUAACACAUGCAAGUCGAACGAGUGGCGGACGGGUGAGUAAUGUCUGGGAAACUGCCUGAUGGAGGGGGAUAACUACUGGAAACGGUAGCUAAUACCGCAUACCAUCAGAUGUGCCCAGAUGGGAUUAGCUAGUUGGUGGGGUAACGGCUAACCAAGGCGACGAUCCCUAGCUGGGCUGAGAGGAUGACCAGCCACCCUGGAACUGAGACACGGUCCAGACGCCACCGGAAGGCAGCAUAGGGGAAUAUUACACAAUGUUCGCAAGCCUGAUUCAGCCAGGCCGCGUGUAUGAAGAAUGCCUUCGGGUUUUAACGUACUUUCAGCGGGGAGGCGUUACCCGCAGAAGAAGCACCGGCUAACUCCGUGCCAGCAGCCGCGGUAAUUC